rnacentral:lncRNA from 1 species
GGGAGACCACCACCACUGGAUCUCAAGGGUGGGAUUGGAUUUAUCCAUUCUCUGCUUUUGUAUUAGGAUUCCCAAGGUAUAAUCAUUUAUCAACAACAACAACAACAAAUAAACAAGACAAGACAAGACAAGACAAAGAUGACUUCCUCACAGGGCUGAAGACUGGGAUUCCAAAGCAAAGGACCCUUCUGCAGAGAGCUGAGGACAAGAGAAGGAAGAUCGCACAACCCUAUCACAGCGAUGGAGAAACACGAUGAACGAUGAAGCUGGAAAGGGAGGCUUCAGUACCAUGCUAAGGGUUUGAGAUGUGAGCCAGGCUUGGCCCCUUUAGUUUCCUAAAUAAACAUUGAUUUAUCUUUCCA